UGCAGAAUCCCGUGAACCAUCGAGUCUUUGAACGCAAGUUGCGCCCUAAGCCAUUUGGCCGAGGGCACGUCUGCCUGGGCGUCAAUCAUCUAUUCGUCACCCAACCUCCGCUCCCCGAAAAGGAGCUUUGGUCCCGGGUACGGAAGUUGGCCUCCCGUGCUCUUGAAGCGCGGCUGGCCUAAAACUGAGCAUCGGACUGAUGAUCUCCGAGGCACGCGGUGGUUGUUCAUUCCUACCUCGUGACGUUGCCAAGGAGCGUCUCCCGUACGAAGCUCCACGACCCUAGAUUUACUAUCGAUGCGACCCCAGGUCAGGCGGGGCCACCCGCUGAAUUUAAGCAUAUCAAUAAGCGGAGGAAAAGAAACUAACAAGGAUUCCCCUAGUAGCGGCGAGCGAACCGGGAAAUGCCCACCAUGAAAAUCGAGCUCCUUUGGUGCUCGA
rnacentral:rRNA from 2 species